rnacentral:lncRNA from 1 species
AAACUGACCUGCAAAAAAAAAUGUGAUUUCAGUGGAUACUUGGCAGUGGAAAGAGAUCAUUAUUUCCCUGGGAAGUUAGGCCAGCCACCAAACUGUGGGAGCGGGUCUCCCAGCUUAAAUCAGCUUCCAAGUGGAUGACUGAGGAACGUUCCUGGAAAAAAAAAAACAACACAAGAAACAAAGUCUCCAAAGGUACCUUUUUCCUUUAAUAUCUUGCCAAGGGUUUACUUAGAAGAGUUAGUUCACAUAGACUGGUAAGCCAGGAUUUGGGCCUCAGACACAGUAACAGCAAAGGUAAAAUGUAUGAAAUUACACUACUAACAAGCCUAACACAAUUGUUGAGUCAUUAUCUCCUGUCAGAGAAGCUGGAAAAGCAUUGUGAAACAGAAGAGCCUCCACUGCCUGCAGGACAAUUCUGGCUGCUAAUGAACCUGUAUGUAGAAAGAACAUCAAAUUCAUGCCAAAAGUCCUUCUCAGAUUUCUUUAUUUUUUUUCUCUUGUAGGAUUUUGUCUGAAGCUAUAUUGUAUUCUCCUUCCUGACUGGUCCAGAUUUUGCCCAAUAUCAGCCCAACUUUGAAAGCACCUCAGGUCUUCUCCCAGUGAGGAUGGGAGGUUUUCACAGCUGCAACUUUCACCUGCUCCACAUUCUGACUUCUUUGUUGGCCACCACUGCUUUUCAAGGUUGCUGAUGGCACUCAGAUGACCUUCAUGGCCUCAGCAUGAUGCGGAAACUCUUAAACACAAAGUCUUCCUGUAAUUUAAACACCCAGCCGUAUGCGUAAUUCAAAUAAGAUGUGGAGGCGGGUGCUGAGACGCCAGGACAGUGAGCUAAAGCAGGCUCAGGGAGGAUGCGGAUUCCAGGAGCCUCACGUCAGCAGAUGUGCCAGAGGAAUUCCUGCCUCCGCCAACCCUGCGCAUCCACAGCCUGAGGGAGGAGAAUGCCGGGCAUGUGUUGCACAAAGGUUCCCCACCUGCCGAUCUUGGCAAGAGUCGGAGCAAAGGCAAAAAAAAUAGUUACAUGUUUUAAAAGCAAAUUUGAGUUCCCUUGUUUUGGUAUGGGCCAUCCUUUUAAAUCCCAAACAAUCUUCUUAUUCAGAGGUGAAAUCUGAUCUGGCAGACAUUUCAGUGCCGGACCCUGUUUUCUGCUGACUUCAGGAGACUUAAAGAGACUUUUUGACCAACAUUGUUGUUAAUUUCAAGUAUGCACUUGGCCUAGUAUUUUUCCUCUGAGAUUUACAUUACACUGUUUUACUCACUCUGGUACUUUCUAUCCAUGUUCUCACUGAAGCUGUGUCCAUGAAAUACCUAUUGCACUUUGUUACCUGUUGGUGAACACUGGUGUUUUCCUCUGUAAAGAAAUGCAAGUACCUAAAUAACUCUUAGUGCAUCUCUCCUUGACUUUGUUGGGACAUACAGCCUCUGCUGAGCAGAGGUUUAAUUGUACGCCUUCAUCCUUUGCCCUGGGAUGGACUUGAACUGAUGUGUCAAAGGAGCUAUGAGGCGUUCAUCACUGAGUGCAGUGCAAGCUCUUAAACUGGGCUCUGUGGGGCAGCUCCAGCUCAGGCACUGUAGUGCAGGAAGAAAGGGUAGGCAGAAACCUGGCAAAACUGGAUGUUUUCUACUCAGGAGGAGGUGCACUUGCUUCAGUCAAUGCCUGUCCUCAUGAGAAAGAGUACACGACAGUUUUGGGGCUUGUGGCACCUGGUAAAACAUACUGAGCAGAUGGAGAAUCCAGCACAGAGGUGGAGGGAGACCCUGGGUACUACCUGGAUCCACUGAUCCUUAAGCAAAACAUUUCCAUAGGGUUCCACAGCAGCAAACCUUCUCCUCAGUAAAGAACAGAUGAAGAUAUAGCUCUUCUGAAGUCUUAAGUUAUGCAUACUCCCUCCACAUCUGCCAGUAUUUCCACUGUUGUAUUCAUCUAGAAAUAACAAAAGGUGUCAGAGGUUGCCUGGAGUUAGGUGGCAAGCACCAUCUGACCACAUUUCUUAACUGUAAAAUGAGACAGGCCACAUGUCAAAACAGAUUAAAAUAAAUCAUCAUUUGUGAUAGUGUCCCUAAACCCC